CUUUCUCCUCGAUCAAGGGUUGAAGGCAGGAGAAUGUGAUUGAGAAACAUAUCAGUCAUGAUGAACUGGCAGAGCAGCUUCAAUGGACUGAAAUGCUCCUAUGUUUUAUGGUCUUGUGGUUAUUUUAAUGUUGAUACAAGUCAGACGGGUGAAAUUCACUACCCAAGAGACUGGUGGAUGCUGGGACAUUGAAUAAAUUUAAGAAGGAGGUUGACAGAUUUUUAUUGAGUAAUGUGUUGAUGGUUGGUGGAGCGUGGGCAGGAAAGUGGAGUUGAAGUCGAGAUGAGAUCAGCCACAACUGUGUUAAAUGGUGAAGCAAGCUCAAGAGCUGAAUUGUCUACUCCUUCUCUGAGUUAUUAUAUUGUUAUAACUUUGUAAGGACUAUUAGGCAGUGAGGGCCUUUCUUCUGUCUGGGUCGAUGCUGAAUGACCAGUCUGGUUAAAUUUUAUUUUUGAACUGGUUUGGAACUGAAGUCACACAAAUUUUGAGAUGGACUUUUAUGAAAAUCCCAUAACUUUAUUGUCCCCAUUGUUGGCACUUGCUUUUUCUUCCACACUUAUUCAAUUAUCUAAAUUGAAAUUUCCCAGUGGCCGUGGAGGGAUUUGAACUCCUAUUUCAGGAACAACAUUAGUGCAGGCUUCUGGAUUACUAGAAAUAGAAGCAGUAAUAUAACUGCUGUGAUCUUGUACGUUGUAACGUUAAACCACAGGAAAUAGUUUUGCUCCAUGGAGUCACAUUUCUUUCCAGAGUCAGGUCAGGCACUUUCUCUAGGUAUGGAAUAGCUUAAAUAUACCAAAGGUGAUCUGGUUGUUGGAGCAGCGCAAACUGGAAUUGUGAGAUGAGAUCAUGUGGAAUCCUUGUCACAGCUGACUCCAUGGAAAUUACCUGGGACUUCAAUUUUCUGAUGUCUGGAACUCUCAGACAGACUCCAUUAAAGCUGAAAACCUCAGAAGGUUUCAACUUAUUUAUUAUUAGUCAUUAUUACCCAGGAAAUGUUAGAGGAUUAAAAACCUGUUCCAGCUCCUGGAUAGCUAUUAAACUGAAUGCCCAACUCACCAAAGUUUGACUUUCAAUUAUACUUUCCAAUUCUUGAUAUGUGCUAAAGGGACAACUGUCCACUUCCUGACUCACUGUCUAAUGCCCUAACUCAGCCCAAUACUGCCUGACACAGUCCUUCCAGAACCAACACCUCUGGCCCAGCUGGGACCAAGCCCACAAACUGCACCCCUUCCACAGCCCCAACCUUGCUGGAAAUGAACCCCCACCUGACCCUUCUGGGACCAAACUGGCCCCCUCCCCUUCACCAUCCUUCACCUUCCUCCUCCCACACACACCCCCUCACUAACAAACUGACUUGCCCUGCUAGGUCUGGCCCUUCCACACGCCAGCAGAGCCUCACCCUCCUAUCACCGAUCUGAUGCACCUGUCCUGUCUCAGUCACAAAGCUCUUUUGUGACCUUUAACUCCUGAGAUAGCAAGUGUUGUGAAAACGGUGCAUGUUUUUACCUGCAAAGCUACUCCUACACUCAAUGGAUUUCUUUCUGUUUUCCUUCAAUACAUGUAUUUGAGGCAAGCCGAACUCAAAAUCUUGGCCAGAAAUAUCAUCAACAGGGGUACAGCUAUGGAGAAAGCUACAGAGUGACAUUCAUUCAUUUGCUCUUGAAAACAGCAUACAGACAGAAUGGGCUGAAUGGACUCUUUCUAUGAUCUGAGAUUGCUGGAAUUAGUCAUUAACAUUCACACUCUGCCAUCUUGGUGUAACUAUAAGGUUAGCUUUAUGAGCCAAUGAUGUUUGUCACGAUAAAGCACCUGCAAUGGUCACGAAUAAAGCACUGUCUAAUAUAUGAAGAAAUUUCUAACUUACCUUCAAAUAAGAAAUCUAAGCUUUGAUGGCGGUCCAGAGGAGUAAGCAGCAAGCUGGAGCUGCCAGUUGAGAAGAUCUGCCUUUUUAUAAGGGCAGAGGAAAAUGAAAAUUGUGCUAAAUCAAACCAGGUUUUACUCUGGAAUCUAACUUACCCAUAAUCCCCAUCAGCUGCAAUCAAAACACUAUUUUAUGAGGAAGAAUUCUCAGUAACAAUAAUAGAGAUUGUGCCAAGAAAAGCAAACUCCGAAAAUAGCAGAACUGAAGAAGUGAACAUGUUGCUUUCACGAAUAAUGCUUUCAUGAAUAAUCACUGACAGCAACUAAGCAAAAGAUAAAAAUCAGCAGCAUGCUGGCUCCUACCCAGGAUUCCAAUGGUCCAGUAUUCCUUAAGGCAAAUUCUACAGAAUCUUGUGGCCUGGGAUUCCAAUGGUGACUUGCUUCAGUGGUGGCUUCAGUGACAAGUAUACCUUCCAGUCCACGCGAUUGGUUUGAAUUCAACUGUGCACAACAUGGAGUGAACAAAAUACAGCAAUCUGGAAUCAUCCUGUGUUGAACUGGGAUCCCACCAUAUGUUCAUCUGUCCAACUAAACAUAUUGAGCCCUUAGGACUUAACAGGAUUGUUCGUUUGCAUCACAUGCCAUUUUACAGAAUCAGUGGUUGAGUUUUUAAAGCAGAUCAGACAAGAAGCUUGCUAAAAGACGAUAGUGUCACCAUUAGGAAUAACUAUCAAAAGCUUGGGGCUUACCAUAGACCAGAAGCUGAACUGGACCAGCCAAACAGAUAUUACACGUAGAGGAGGAGGUCAAAAGUUGAGAAUUCUGCAUUUUACAAACAAACUUCCAGGCAAGGAGAUUUCCCAGCUGAAGAAGCAUUGACAAGCCCAGUAUCUGUGCAGGCAAUGGCAGGUUGAAUUGGCACUAAAACAUUAUCUCGUUUUCAGCGGCUGAACUUGAGAGCAGCUGGAACUCUCAUUGGUGGAUGCUGAAGUUGUCUCACACUCUCAAUUAACUUUGAGAUGAUAUUCAGCAGGAAGAUUUCGAAGACCUAUACAAAAUCUUUGUAAUGUUCAUGGAUCUGAUGAAUUAUAAAUGUCUUAAUGGCCUGCAAUAUGCUGCAAAUUUCUUCUGGCACAUAGAGCUUGAAGAAUUCAUCGCUUUGAAAGUUACAUGAGUCAAGAAAAGACGACAAUCCCAACAAAUUUAGACAUGCCUUGAGUGAGUUCUCUACAUUUUGUACAACAUUACAAUAUAAAUAUUACACAAAAUAUA